rnacentral:rRNA from 1 species
AUUGAACGCUGGCGGCAGGCCUAACACAUGCAAGUCGAGCGGAUGAAGGGAGCUUGCUCCUGGAUUCAGCGGCGGACGGGUGAGUAAUGCCUAGGAAUCUGCCUGGUAGUGGGGGAUAACGUCCGGAAACGGGCGCUAAUACCGCAUACGUCCUGAGGGAGAAAGUGGGGGAUCUUCGGACCUCACGCUAUCAGAUGAGACUAGGUCGGAUUAGCUAGUUGGUGGGGUAAAGGCCUACCAAGGCGACGAUCCGUAACUGGUCUGAGAGGAUGAUCAGUCACACUGGAACUGAGACACGGUCCAGACUCCUACGGGAGGCAGCAGUGGGGCAUAUUGGACAAUGGGCGAACGCCUGAUCCAGCCAUGCCGCGUGUGUGAAGAAGGUCUUCGGAUUGUAAAGCACUUUAAGUUGGGAGGAAGGUCAGUAAGUUAAUACCUUGCUGUUUUGACGUUACCAACAGAAUAAGCACCGGCUAACUUCGUG